rnacentral:rRNA from 1 species
UACGUAGGGUGCGAGCGUUAAUCGGAAUUACUGGGCGUAAAGCGUGCGCAGGCGGUUUUGCAAGCCGGAUGUGAAAUCCCCGGGCUUAACCUGGGAAUGGCAUUUGGGACUGCAAGGCUGGAGUGCGGCAGAGGAGACUGGAAUUCCUGGUUUAGCAGUGAAAUGCGAAGAUAUCAGGAGGAACACCGAUGGCGAAGGCAGGUCUCUGGGCCACUACUGACGCUGAGAAGCGAAAGCAUGGGGAGCGAACAGG